rnacentral:rRNA from 1 species
UCGAGAAUCUUCCACAAUGGGCGCAAGCCUGAUGGAGCGACACCGCGUGCAGGAUGAAGGCCUUAGGGUUGUAAACUGCUGUCACGCUAUAGGAACCCACGGCAGUGAAUAGUUGUCGUGCUGACUAAAGCGAGAGGAAGCACCGGCUAACUCCGUGCCAGCAGCCGCGGUAAUACGGAGGGUGCAAGCGUUGUUCGGAUUCACUGGGCAUAAAGAGCAUGUAGGCGGCUCGCUCAGUCAGGUGUGAAAGCCCACGGCCCAACCGUGGAACUGCACCUGAUACUGGCGAGCUCGAGGACGGAAGGGGUGAGUGGAACUCCAGGUGGAACGGUGAAAUGUAUAGAUAUCUGGAGGAACACCGGUGGCGAAAGCGGCUCACUGGUCCGUCUCUGACGCUGAGAUGCGAAAGCCAGGGUAGCGAACGGGAUUAGAUACCCCCGUAGUCC